UCCCUGGUGGUCCAGUGGUUAAUACUCCGCACUCCCAAUGCAGGGGGCCCAGGUUCAAUCCCUGGUCAGCGAA
rfam:TPA: Bos taurus chromosome 5, whole genome shotgun sequence.